CAUACGGGGGAGCUCGUAAACGAGCUGAGAGGAGAAUGCAGAGUCUCGACCCUUUUAACCUGUCAGGAUAAUGCCUGCGUAGGAAGUAUGCUAUAUU
rnacentral:ncRNA from 1 species